UGUAAGUAAGUACGUGCCUUAUCCUUUCGAGAAACCCGGAGUAAACGUUCAACAACCAGCAGCACUAUUGCUCGACAGUACGAUUUAUCGAUUUCUCAUUGUUCGUCGAUCAAUUUGGAGACCUUCGAUCUUGAGAAUUUUUAUAGUAUUUCCUAUCCUCGAAUACCAUAUAUAAGAAGUAGAUAGGUAUAUCGGAUUCGCUUGACCGAUCAAGAAGAGGAGAGAAUCCAAGGUUAAAAUUUCUCUCGCGAGAAGACAGAAGGAUGAUUCCAACAGCAUUUUAUUAUCUUCAACUUAUUUGCUCGGGGCAAUUAUAUAUCCUGGGUGAAAGGUCAGAAGAGGCGUGCGACCUAGAAGCAUUCGCGUGCUCGUCCGAGUUGCAGUGCCAGAACUAUUAAUACUAACGGUGCGUCGAUCGAAUUCCGAACGAGUUCUAACUAUGCCGACGAUCCACGUUAGAUAGGUAGAUUUAAUGCUAGAGGAUCGAGCCAGCUUGCUUAUCGUAUACCGUACGAUGACUGAUCGUCGACUAACGAGUAUCUCUCGAUGAUAUAUAAAAAAAAAAAAAAAUAAAAAAAAAGUAAAAAAAAUCAGUAAAUAAAUAAAUAAAUAAAUAAAAGGACAUAAAAAUAUCUAAAUGCAUUGGUUUCUAAUGAAAUAAAUUUACGAUGUUAGUAAUAAGACGUUAUACACUUGACUGGUUACAAUGAUACAUGUGAUACGUAUGAUUAAUAUUACAGCAUACGUACAUAUAUUACAACA